rnacentral:rRNA from 1 species
GACGAACGCUGGCGGCGUGCUUAACACAUGCAAGUCGAACGGAAAGGCCCUGCUUUUGUGGGGUGCUCGAGUGGCGAACGGGUGAGUAACACGUGAGUAACCUGCCCUUGACUUUGGGAUAACUUCAGGAAACUGGGGCUAAUACCGGAUAGGAGCUCCUGCUGCAUGGUGGGGGUUGGAAAGUUUCGGCGGUUGGGGAUGGACUCGCGGCUUAUCAGCUUGUUGGUGGGGUAGUGGCUUACCAAGGCUUUGACGGGUAGCCGGCCUGGGAGGGUGACCGGCGGCAGGGGGACGAGGAGCGAGGCCGGACGCAGAGGGGGGGGAGGAGGGGGGGAUAGAGGGCGGGGGGGGGGAGCGUGGGGGGGAGAGGGAGGAGGCGGGAUGGGGGCCUGGGGGUGGCGAGCCGCUUCGGCGUGUGGGGAGGAGUGGGGGACGGGAAGGGAUAAAGGAGCACCGGCCAGAUGCGGGCCAGCAGGGGGGAUAAUAAUGGGAAGAGAAAACGUACGAGC